rnacentral:pre_miRNA from 1 species
CUGUUGUGGGGUCUCAGGAGGCAGAGCUCUCUGGCAUCUCCUCCAUGGCCUGGAUCCCUCUCCUGCUCCCCCUUCUUACUCUCUGCACACGUGC